CAGUAAAUAGUUUAAUUUAAAAAUUUUAAUUUUGGAGAUUAAUGAUGGAAUAUUUUUCUUUACUGA
rnacentral:tRNA from 1 species